CGGGUGAGUAACACGUGAGUGACCUGCCUUUUAGACUGGAACAACUUACCGAAAGGUGAGCUAAUGCCGGAUGAGUUAUAUAAGUGCAUGUUUAUAUAGGAAAAGUUGGGGAGACCUGACGCUGAAAGAUGGACUCGCGUCCCAUUAGCUAGUUGGUAGGGUAAUGGCCUACCAAGGCGACGAUGGGUAGCCGGCCUGAGAGGGUGGCCGGCCAUACUGGGACUGAGACACGGCCCAGACUCCUACGGAAGGCAGCAG
rnacentral:rRNA from 1 species